rnacentral:rRNA from 1 species
UUGGAGGGCAAGUCUGGUGCCAGCAGCCGCGGUAAUUCCAGCUCCAAUAGCGUAUAUUAAAGUUGUUGCAGUUAAAAAGCUCGUAGUUGAAUUUCGGGAUCAAUAUGUCGGUCGUGCCAUCGGUACGUACUGGUAUCAUUGGUCUCUCCUUUCUGACGAACCAUGAUGUCAUUAAUUUGGUGUUAUGGGGAGUUAGGACUGUUACUUUGAAAAAAUUAGAGUGUUUAAAGCAGGCAUUAGCUUGAAUACAUUAGCAUGGAAUAAUGAAAUAGGACGUUCGAACCUAUUUUGUUGGUUUCUAGGAUCAACGUAAUGAUUAAUAGGGAUAGUUGGGGGCAUUAGUAUUCAAUUGUCAGAGGUGAAAUUCUUGGAUUUAUUGAAGACUAACUACUGCGAAAGCAUUUGCCAAGGAUGUUUUCAUUAAUCAAGAACGAAAGUUAGGGGAUCGAAGACGAUCAGAUACCGUCGUAGUCUUAACCAUAAACUAUGCCGACUAGGGAUCGGAUGAUGUUAAUUUUUAAUGACUCAUUCGGCGCCUACGGAAAC